rnacentral:rRNA from 1 species
AUGCCAAUAUUGUGUUUAAAAUUACCAUUAACAAGGUCUAAAGGUAAAGGAGGUAUGGGAUUCCGGAAUCUCGGAUUAUUUAACCAAGCCCUCUUAUCCAAACAAGCGUGGAGGUUAUUGGUUCAUCCGGAUUCGUUGUGUGCUAAGCUGAUGAAGGCAAAGUAUUACCCUCAUGGACAUAUUCUUGAUACAGUGUUUCCUCUGUCUGCAUCAGUGACUUGGUAAGGUAUUAUGCAUGGUCUGGAAUUGCUUAAGAAUGGUGUCAUUUGGCGGGUGGGUAAUUGAUCUAGCAUUAAUAUUUGGAGGGAUAAUUGGUUAUUCAUGAGCACUGGACUUAAAUUUUUAGCUAAAAGUCAUAAUACUAGAUUGAAGUGGGUCUCUGAUUUGUUCUUGAGUGGGAGAAAGGCAUGGGAUGAAAAUUUGAUUAGGUAUCUUUUCUAUCCCCAUGAUGUAGAGGAGAUUCUUAAGAUUCGUAUUCAUACUUAUGGGGAUGGGGAUUUUAUUGCGUGGCACUAUGAGAAGAACGGUAUAUUUUCCGUUAAAAGUGCGUACAAUUCAGCACUUAAGUUGAAGGAUAGUUAA